CCACCAUCACUUUACCCUUCACUGAUAGUCGCUUAUUCUUCCGUGUGUGUUUAGUUGGAGACCCUGGACAAUCUCACUCCAAAGCAGGUCGUUGGACUGUUGGUUGAAGAGCUACCUGGUCUCCCAGAGAAGGAAGUCGUCAUCAAUACAGUGUUUGAUCAUCUGCUUGUGUCUCCUGUGGAGCGAGGACUUCCUGAUGUUCUUCAAAACCUGCUCUCAAUCUCACAGACGACCAUUAUUCCGUGCAGCUCCUACAUACUGAUAUUCCAGAGGCUUUUUCAGGCGUUACCUUACCUGCCGACGGAGAUAGAGACUGUGGUCUUCCAAACAACUGGAGAACUCAAGCAGAAUGGAGCAAGAGACUGUUCACUUCCUGAACCGCCAACAGUACCUGAACCUCCAACA